rnacentral:rRNA from 1 species
AUUCCUUCGGGAUGAAGAUGCUUGAGACUUAGUGGCGGACGGGUGAGUAACGCGUGGGUAACCUGCCCUGUACUGGGGGACAACAGUUAGAAAUGACUGCUAAUACCGCAUAAGCCUACAGAGUCGCAUGACUUAGUAGGAAAAAUUCCGGUGGUACAGGAUGGGCCCGCGUCUGAUUAGCUAGUUGGUGAGGUAACGGCUCACCAAGGCGACGAUCAGUAGCCGGCUUGAGAGAGUGAACGGCCACAUUGGGACUGAGACACGGCCCAAACUCC